GACGAACGCUGGCGGCGUGCUUAACACAUGCCAGUCGAACGGAAAGGCCCUGCUUUUGUGGGGUGCUCGAGUGGCGAACGGGUGAGUAACACGUGAGUAACCUGCCCUUGACUUUGGGAUAACUUCAGGAAACUGGGGCUAAUACCGGAUAGGAGCUCCUGCUGCAUGGUGGGGGUUGGAAAGUUUCGGCGGUUGGGGAUGGACUCGCGGCUUAUCAGCUUGUUGGUGGGGUAGUGGCUUACCAAGGCUUUGACGGGUAGCCGGCCUGAGAGGGUGACCGGCCACAUUGGGACUGAGAUACGGCCCAGACUCCUACGGGAGGCAGCAGUGGGGAAUAUUGCACAAUGGGCGGAAGCCUGAUGCAGCAACGCCGCGUGCGGGAUGACGGCCUUCGGGUUGUAAACCGCUUUCGCCUGUGACGAAGCGUGAGUGACGGUAAUGGGUAAAGAAGCAUCGGCUAACUACGU
rnacentral:rRNA from 1 species